rnacentral:rRNA from 1 species
UACAGAGGGGGCAAGCGUUGUUCGGAAUUACUGGGCGUAAAGGGCGCGUAGGCGGCCUGUUAAGUCGAACGUGAAAUCCCCGGGCUCAACCCGGGAACUGCGUCCGAAACUGGCAGGCUCGAAUUCGGGAGAGGGAUGCGGAAUUCCAGGUGUAGCGGUGAAAUGCGUAGAUAUACGGAGGAAUACCUGAGGCGAAGGCGGGUUGCUGGGCCAACACUGACGCUGAAGUGCGAAAGCCAGGGGAGCAAACGGG